rnacentral:rRNA from 1 species
UACGAAGGGGGCUAGCGUUGCUCGGAAUCACUGGGCGUAAAGGGUGCGUAGGCGGGUCUUUAAGUCAGGGGUGAAAUCCUGGAGCUCAACUCCAGAACUGCCUUUGAUACUGAGGAUCUUGAGUUCGGGAGAGGUGAGUGGAACUGCGAGUGUAGAGGCGAAAUUCGUAGAUAUUCGCAAGAACACCAGUGGCGAAGGCGGCUCACUGGCCCGGUACUGACGCUGAGGUGCGAAAGCGUGGGGAGCAAACAGG